ACGCUCAUGCACGAAAGUGCGGGGAUCGAACAGGAUUAGAUACCCUGGUAGUCCGCACAGUAAACGAUGAAUACUUGCUUUCGGCGAUACAUUGUCGGAGGCAAAGCGAAAGCGAUAAGUAUUCCACCUGGGGAGUACGCCGGCAACGGUGAAACUCAAAGGAAUUGACGGGGGCCCGCACAAGCGGAGGAACAUGUGGUUUAAUUCGAUGCUACGCGAGGAACCUUACCCGGGCUUGAAAGUUAGCGACGGAGGCUGAAAGGCCUCUUCCCUUCGGGGCGCGAAACUAGGUGCUGCAUGGUUGUCGUCAGCUCGUGCCGUGAGGUGUCGGCUUAAGUGCCAUAACGAGCGCAACCCUUUUCAUUAGUUGCCAUCAGGUAGAGCUGGGCACUCUGGUGAUACUGCCACCGUAAGGUGUGAGGAAGGUGGGGAUGACGUCAAAUCAGCACGGCCCUUACGUCCGGGGCUACACACGUGUUACAAUGGGUGGUACAGAGAGUUGGUCGUUUGCAAAUGCGAUCUAAUCCUUAAAGCCAUCCUCAGUUCGGAUUGGGGUCUGCAACCCGACCCCAUGAAGCUGGAUUCGCUAGUAAUCGCGCA
rnacentral:rRNA from 1 species